AGUGAACGCUGGCGGUAGGCCUAACACAUGCAAGUCGAACGGCAGCACAGUAAGAGCUUGCUCUUACGGGUGGCGAGUGGCGGACGGGUGAGGAAUACAUCGGAAUCUACUUUUUCGUGGGGGAUAACGUAGGGAAACUUACUCUAAUACCGCAUACGACCUACGGGUGAAAGCAGGGGAUCUUCGGACCUUGCGCGAUUGAAUGCGCCGAUGUCGGAUUAGCUAGUUGGCGGGGUAAAGGCCCACCAAGGCGACGAUCCGUAGCUGGUCUGAGAGGAUGAUCAGCCACACUGGAACUGAGACACGGUCCAGACGCCUACGGGAGGCAGCAGUGGGGAAUAUUGGACAAUGGGCGCAAGCCUGAUCCAGCCAUACCGCGUGGGUGAAGAAGGCCUUCGGGUUGUAAAGCCCUUUUGUUGGGAAAGAAAAGCAGCAGGUUAAUACCCAGCUGUUCUGACGGUACCCAAAGAAUAAGCACCGGCUAACUUCGUG
rnacentral:rRNA from 1 species